AAAGAACCCCGGUGAGGGGAGUGAAAUAGAACCUGAAAUCACACGACCCGCAAACAGUCGGAGCGCAAUGGGAGGAGUAAUCUUUUCAGGCGUGACGGCGUACCUUUUGCAGAAUGAGCCUGCGAGUUAUUAGUGUUGGCAAGGUUAAGCGUUUAAGACGCGCAGCCGGAGGGAAACCGAGUCUGAAUAAGGCGUCGAGUCAGCAUUAGUAGACCCGAAACCGCGUGAUCUAGCCAUGGCCAGGGUGAAGUGUUGGUAACACAACAUGGAGGCCCGAACUCAUUGAUGUUGAAAAAUCUCGGGAUGAGCUGUGGUUAGUCCGGUGAAAUGCCAAUCGAACGCAGAGAUAGCUGGUUCUCCCCGAAAUGCAUUUAGGUGCAGCGUCAGGCGUUGUUCUUUGGGGGUAGAGCACUGAAUGGGCUAGGGGGCUUACCCGCUUACCGAACCCAACCAAACUCCGAAUACCGUUGUAUAAGAUAGGCAGUGACACGGCGAGUGAUAAGAUCCGUCGUCAAAAGGAGAACAAUCCAGAUCGACAGCUAAGGACCC
rnacentral:rRNA from 1 species